UCCAUCUUAAAUCUGGUAUUUUUCCAUUUAGAAGGUGGGGUGGGGACCCAGAGAGACGACAAAUUCCCGCCUUGUGCCAAAGCUAUAAAAAGGGAUGGAACAGGACAAAAGGGUCCCAGCCAUGAGAAAACCCUUGCUUACCACCUGAGAUGUCUGCUGGAACUAACAAGGACUGUACCAGGGGAAAGGAUUGGGCCCAGACUAGGAAGGAGUCUUGUCUGUGAAAGAAGUGUAUA